GCCCUUUUCAUUCUCAAGACAAGCGCCUAUAUGUGGGGUGCCGGCUUGACCGGCUAUGGCGAUAAACGGCCGUUGUAAUAAACCAUUCGGACCCGGGGGCGGUACCCGGCGCCUCCACCAGAAUCCGCUGAAACGGCAGCGGCUCCUGACGGGGGCGAAACAGGAUCGACGAGGGUGUAAAGAGCGCGCUUUUGCCCGGCAUGAUACCACCGUCAUCGGGUCAACCUUAUAGUUGCAAACGACAACUAUGCUGAAGCUCGUCUCGCUGCCUAAGGCGGUGCGACUGUUUCAAAUCAAGUCCUGACGGGUAGCACCGGCAGGCGGGGCCCGGAGGCGCCUGGCAACAGAAGCCUCCACU
rnacentral:tmRNA from 1 species